GUUUAAUUGAAAUAUGAGACUUUCCUCAAUUUAUUGCGAAAAUACCCCCAAAAAAAGGGGGGAGGCUAUCUAAAUGAUCAAUAAAAUCUAUAAAAAUUAAUUUGCAACCGAAAUCCCUUUCAAAGUAUUUUGAACCAAAGAAAAUGCAAUGUAUGUCUGAAAUUUAGGGUAAAUUAAAGCGACUUUUGGGCUGUAGUGUCUAUUUUAGUGUGAUUUGAUGAAAAGGCCAUAUUUUUUAUCACUUUAUGUGUUUUGCCACGCCCUUAUUUUCUCUAUAUAUCAUUAUGUUUAAUAAAAUUAUGUGAUUUAUACUUCAUACACAUCCUAUCUGUGCUAUUAAAGUAUUUA
rnacentral:lncRNA from 1 species